CUCUACUUGGCUCCACUCUCCUGUCUACUCCCCUGUCUCAAGGCUGGGGUUGCCUUAGAGUUGGAAGGUUUGAUCUCUGGGAGCUGCCUGGGAGUCUGGGUAACCCUGGAGCCCAGGGACUGGCCAGAUGGGCACAAGCCAGGAGCUCAAAGGUUUUCCUCUGAUUCUUUCUCUAAACUAAAUGAGCCCCUUGACUUCUCUCUCCUUGUGAAGAGUCUUCAGCAAAGCCCAGGAGAGGAAUGGGAUCCAGGAGGGCAGCAGGCACAGCCCAGCACCUACACAGCUUGGGUCUUAAAAACAGCCUUGCUCCAUCACUUUUCCAUAAAUAAAAAUGCCCCAGCCCACA